rnacentral:tRNA from 1 species
GGUCCCAUUGUGUAAUGGUUAGCACUCUGGACUUUGAAUCUAGCCAUCUGAGUUUAAAAUCUCAAUGGGACCU